rnacentral:rRNA from 1 species
GGGGACCCGCACAAGCAGCGGAGCGUGUGGUUUAAUUCGAUGCUAACACGAAGAACCUUACCAGGGUUUGACAUGCAAGUGGUAGGAAAACUGAAAAGGGACCGACCCUUCGGGGAGCUUGCACAGGUGCUGCAUGGCUGUCGUCAGCUCGUGUCGUGAGAUGUUCGGUUAAGUCCGCUAACGAGCGCAACCCUCACUGUGUGUUAUAUGUGUCACAACGGGACUGCCGGUUUUAAGCCGGAGAAGGUGGGGAUGACGUCAAGUCAGCAUGGCCUUUAUAUCCUGGGCUACACACACGCUACAAUGGUCGGUACAAUAGGUUGCCAAGCCGCGAGGCGGAGCCAAUCCAAAAAGCCGUUCUCAGUUCGGAUUGGAGUCUGCAACUCGACUCCAUGAAGUUGGAAUCGCUAGUAAUCGUGGAUCAGCGUGCCACGGUGAAUACGUUCCCGGGCCUU